rnacentral:rRNA from 1 species
GACGAACGCUGGCGGCGUGCUUAACACAUGCAAGUCGAACGAUGAAGCCGGAGCUUGCUCUGGUGAAUUAGUGGCGAACGGGUGAGUAACACGUGAGUAACCUGCCCUUGACUCUGGGAUAACUGCGGGAAACUGUAGCUAAUACCGGAUACGACCCUCGGAGGCAUCUCCUGGGGGUGGAAAGAAUUUCGGUCAAGGAUGGACUCGCGGCCUAUAAGCUAGUUGGUGAGGUAAAGGCUCACCAAGGCGACGACGGGUAGCCGGCCUGAGAGGGUGGCCGGCCACACUGGGACUGAGACACGGCCCAGACUCCUACGGGAGGCAGCAGUGGGGAAUAUUGCACAAUGGGCGCAAGCCUGAUGCAGCAGCGCCGCGUGAGGGAUGACGGCCUUCGGGUUGUAAACCUCUUUUAGCAGGGAAGAAGCGAAAGUGACGGUACCUGCAGAAAAAGCACCGGCUAACUACGUGCCAGCCGCCGCAGUAA